CAGCAGCCGCGGGAAUACGUAGGUGGCAAGCGUUGUCCGGAAUUAUUGGGCGUAAAGGGCUCGCAGGCGGUUUCUUAAGUCUGAUGUGAAAGCCCCCGGCUCAACCGGGGAGGGUCAUUGGAAACUGGGAAACUUGAGUGCAGAAGAGGAGAGUGGAAUUCCACGUGUAGCGAUGAAAUGCGUAGAGAUGUGGAGGAACACCAGUGGCGAAGGCGACUCUCUGGUCUGUAACUGACGCUGAGGAGCGAAAGCGUGGGGAGCGAACAGGAUUAGAUACCCGUGUAGUCCCUGUCUCUUAUAC
rnacentral:rRNA from 1 species